rnacentral:lncRNA from 1 species
GCAUGAUAUUAUGAUAUAAUUGUUCUCCCUAACAGGAUCGAAAGUUCGAAGGUCUGAGCCCAAAACAACAUUUCAUAUUAGGCAUAUAAUAUAUAUGCAGAAUAACAAUCACUUGGGAAAACGAUGGAAAAUGGAAUCCAGAUUAAAACGAUUUAAAGUAUAGUUAGGCAUACGAUUAUAUACACCAAGUGAAUUUAUUUCAGCGGAAGUAAAACAGAGUGUUCUUCAAUAUUACAGCAACAAUCUUUCCUCAGCUUCGCACGUCACCACCAGCUGCUCAAUCUGCAAAAGAUUUUGAAAACAAUUGCAGGGCUGAGUACUAGUGUACUCAGUGGGUUGAGCCAUUUAAAAACAUUUUAAAAAUUAUUUACUGAAAAAGAUAAUUCAUGCCUUAAACAGUAUAACAUAGAAUGUUUUUAAAGACGAGUCAUUCCAUGCAUACUAAAAUAAUCUGAGCUCAUAUUUUCCUGGCCAUCUAUUGGGCAUGCUAUCUACAACUGGUUGUCACCGAUCUCUCGAGACAACAGGUUCUGGUGUACGUACACAAUUCUGGUUAGCAGAGCUAACAAUGUUCCGGUUGGCAGAGCCAACAAUGUUCUGGUAGAAGCAAUAACCAAUAGAUAGCUAAAACAUUUUAAGCAUGAACCAUCAACUUUAACUUUACAUAAAACCGAGCUUAUUAGCUCAAACAUACAUUUCGUAAAUAAAGCCUCACCUGAUUUGGAGAAAAA